rnacentral:lncRNA from 1 species
GAUAUUGAACCCUAGGAUAGAAAACUUAUUUAUAUCUGUUUGGGAAUUUUUCUGGUUGUUUUGCAGGUCAGGGUUUGGGUGCAUUGCAUUCUCCCUUCACACACACACACACACUUUUUGCAUAUCAUGAAUGGGGGGCCCUACACUCGGGCCUGAGUGCACCUUAGAAAUAGUGGGGUUGUGUAGCGGUGCCACUUGGGCCACACUGCCUGUUUGGCUAUCGUGAGAACCCCAGCUAGAGUCUGUUCUCUUCAUUUGUAUUUUCACACCUAGUUGAUUACUCGACUGUUGUGGAGAUGCUGUGGAGGGGGCCAUAGCUCUAGUGACCAUUGAUCCUUAGGCUUAGGGAACCAUCCUUGUGAGAUUACAUAUACUUGACCUUGAAUCUUAAGCGUCGAACCUCCAUAGGGGCACAAAGGGAGAUGUGUU